GACAUCGACGAUACGGACGGACAUGGACGGCUAACUCCGGUCUUUCGCCUUCGCUUUCUUGCGCGCGAUGUCUACGCCACAAGGCGGAAGCGAAACAGCGAUUUUUUGCCACAGCCGGGCUCUUUUCCGCGGUUCCACCCGCGUGGUUGAGAACGUGCCGAAACGCCACGUGCACCGGCAACCGCGACGAGACAUGCGGCGGCACCUGGGCCAAUGCGAUCUACAAGGUCAACUGAUCUC
rnacentral:misc_RNA from 1 species